AUACAUACCUGGCAGGGGAGAGCCCAUGAUCACAGAGGUCAUUUUUCCAGGGUGAGGCCUAUCCAUUGCACUUCAGGCAGGCAGACCCCUGCAAAUUUCCCCAAACGCAGGAAACUUGACUGCAAUUUUUUCGGCAAUGCAGAACUUCUUUCUUGCUUUUCCCCU
rnacentral:snRNA from 1 species